rnacentral:rRNA from 1 species
UACGUAGGGGGCUAGCGUUGUCCGGAAUCAUUGGGCGUAAAGCGCGUGUAGGCGGUCCGGUAAGUCCGCUGUGAAAGUCGGGGGCUCAACCCUCGGAUGCCGGUGGAUACUGUCGGGCUUGAGUACGGAAGAGGCGAGUGGAAUUCCUGGUGGUAGCGGUGAAAUGCGCAGGAUAUCAAGGAAGACACCCGUGGCGAAGGCGGACUCCUCGUGG